AUGGAAGUGCUGGCCCUGUCCUGGCUCCUGGAAGCUGCUCAGCCCAGCCCGCACCUCCUCCGGGCAGGACUCCACAGCCUCCUCUGGGCUCGCCGAAAACCCUGUCCUUGCCUCAACAGUGAGCUCCUCAUGGCAGAAGGUAAGGGAGGGUUUAAAUCCAUGGUCAGGGGUUUUCUCCAAGAGCAGGAGCCAUGCUCCUCCCCUGGGCCCUCAGCCUGGGGCCCCAGAGCAGGUGGACACUCCGACUGCUUUACUGUCCUCUCUGCACCUCAUCUCCACACAUGCGGGCGUAGAGAGGGAGUGGGGGGACAUCCACACCAUGUGACAUUUGUGUGGCCCUUGCUAUACACGAGUCCUUCUAGCGUGGGUCUCAGCUUGACAACAACCUCCCAAGGCAGGUACUCUGAGUUCCUUCUUCAGACAAAUUCGCCCCCUCCCAGGUGGACACCAGGGGACCUGCUUCCCAUUGUCCUUGCCUCUUCGAUGGCCACCCUUCGGGCUGCCAAGCCUUCCCAUCUCUGGCACAGUCUUGGCUCUUUUACCCUUUCCCCCCAUUUCUGUCAUGUCCCAGAUCUGGGGCGCGGGGCGGGGGGUUGACCAACAGGCCUGACGAUGAGACAGUGAAGUCUGACCCCUUCCCCGAGUGCAGGCCUUCGUGCAUCCUGAACUCAUCCUGAGGCUUAGGGAGCCCCCUCUCCGCUGAGCAGGCUGGGGGCUCUGCGCCCUCUGUUUCAGGGGAGGAAACUGAGGCUCAGAGCAGUUCAGCACCUUGUCUGAUAACCGCACAGGCAGUGGGGAUGCCGGCUGGCCUCCGUUUCAGAUCUUUGGCCCUCAAAUCCUGAGCGCUUUUCUCCGAGGUGCCUCUUUAGAUCCAAGAGGGGGUUUCAUCAACCGUUUAACAGACAGUUGAAAACACAACCCGAGCCUUAGGUUGACCUUCCUCCGGCCCUUAAUGUUCUCACGCCCCAAACGGGCCUCAUAAAAUCCAGCCCUCACAGCGGCGGGCGGAGGUUGUCGUGAAUGAAAAGCCUGC
rnacentral:lncRNA from 9 species